UUGGAACAACUGGUACUCACUCUCACCAGACUAUUCCCUUAAAGUGGGAGGUCAAGGGUUCGAGCAGUGGGGGAGGCGACCUAAUUCCCAGAGGAAGGAAUUGGGCCAAAUCCACUCGGGCUAGGGCGGGCCGUAAUGGCUCCCCCGAGGGACAAAUCCUGCCUGGAACCCGUGAGGGUGAAGGGAUGUUAAGAGCUGCUCACGACGCCAGUGGAAAGCCCGAGGUGGCAAGAGGCCAGGCGAGGGAUAGCCCUGGGCCGUGAGCGGUAACAGUGCCGUGCGUACGGGCCGGGCUGUUACAU
rnacentral:lncRNA from 1 species